GAAUUCUGAAAGGUCUUUUCCUAUACUGCAAGACCCUGUUUGGAACAUGAUGAUUUCGUGAAUCAACAACAACACUGUUUCCAGUGACUUUCAACAACUACAUCGUUUCCAGUGAAAUUCAGCAACAACUACAUUGUUUCCUAUCAUCUAGGAAUAUAAAGGCUUUGAUUUUUUCCUAGUAUAGUUUAGAUUUUCAGGGAACACUUCAACCAAGACAUCGAUGAAGCAAAGAACUUGAUUACAAGGUACAAUCGUGACUAUCAAUGCCUAGCUAUUUUUUGGACUUGACUAACACAAAGGGUGCAAUCUGUAGGUUCAGGGAGCUCCUAUGCUUUUUGAGUAAAGAUGACUUUCAUGCUAGAUUUUCUUUCAAGAUAACAAUAAAGCCUAGGAGCAUCC
rnacentral:lncRNA from 1 species